GAUUUAACAGCUUUUGUUUUGGGCAGAAGAACCUAUGGGCACAAAAAGCAGGAACGAGUAGCGGUGGCUGAAGAACGAGCAGGAGCUUGAAUUUCAGUUUUCUUAUGAGGAAUUUUCCAGAAAAGAUAUCUUCACUGUGAAAUAACUAAAUAAAUGCCCACUCAGUACAGUCACUGUCUCCCUUUUGGAACUUGAUGGCACCUUAAGCCCAGGUUUGCCUCCACUCUAGAAACUCAUCAGAGUGAUGCCCUUCUCAAAUGGGGGAGGUCCCAAAGCGGAUAUCCUGGCAGUGUGAAAGGCCGGCUAAAGCUUUCCCUGCACUCCAAACACAGAGCUGAGACUUCCACCUAAUGUAGAAAGCUAGCACGAGCCGGCGCUGACAGAUGGAAGACUUGAGAUGUUACAAGAUUAUAUAUGGAAACACAAAAGGAGUGGAGUUGCUGGGUCAUAUGGCAAUUCAUUUGAGGAACUGAGAAGCUUAUUCCAUGGAGGCUGAACUGUUUUAUAUUCCCACCAGCAACGUGUAAGGUUCCAGUUUAUCUACAUCAUCACCAACACUUGCUAUUUUCCAUUUCAUUAAUGAUAGCCAUCCUAGUGGAUUUGAAGUGGUACCUUAUUAUCGUGGUUUUGAUUGCAUUCUCUAUUGACUAAUGAUAUCGAGCAUCUUUUCAUGUAUUUUUUGGUCAUUUGGUCAUUUUUCUUUUUUAAUUUUAAAAUUUUGAGACAGGCUCUCACUAUGUUGCCCAGGUGGUCUCAAACUCCUGGGUUCCAGCGAUGCUCAUGCCUCAGUCUCCCAAAGGGGUGGGAUUACAGGUGUGAGCCACUUUGCCCAGCCCAUUUGUAUAUCUCCUUUGGAGAAUAUCUAGGUUCUUUUGAAGGUAGCUGCAUAUAAACUAGCCAAAUUAACAGACUGUGGUUUUUAGAUGGCUUUCCAUAUCUACAAGAACUAUUUAGUUCUCAAAACUGGGAAGAAAUGUUUCAGAGGCAUCAUUAAUUCAUAAUCUAAAAAUUUAUCUUGGGUUUCCUUUUUUCCCCCAGAUUCUGUAUCCUCCAUAGUCCUAUUCAUGACAUGGGUCGUUCAUCUCUGUAUUCUAAACCCUCAAUGAACUGUAGACAGUAAUAAAUAUUUAUUGGAUGAA
rnacentral:lncRNA from 10 species